UGGAUCCAGACCCUGAUCAUGGCUCAGGAUGAACGCUAGCUACAGGCUUAACACAUGCAAGUCGAGGGGAAACGACAUCGAAAGCUUGCUUUUGAUGGGCGUCGACCGGCGCACGGGUGAGUAACGCGUAUCCAACCUGCCCAUCACUUGGGGAUAACCUUGCGAAAGUAAGACUAAUACCCAAUGAUAUCUCUAGGAGACAUCUGAAAGGGAUUAAAGAUUUAUCGGUGAUGGAUGGGGAUGCGUCUGAUUAGCUUGUUGGCGGGGUAACGGCCCACCAAGGCGACGAUCAGUAGGGGUUCUGAGAGGAAGGUCCCCCACAUUGGAACUGAGACACGGUCCAAACUCCUACGGGAGGCAGCAGUGAGGAAUAUUGGUCAAUGGACGAGAGUCUGAACCAGCCAAGUAGCGUGCAGGAUGACGGCCCUAUGGGUUGUAAACUGCUUUUAUAAGGGAAUAAAGUGAGAGUCGUGACUCUUUUUGCAUGUACCUUAUGAAUAAGGACCGGCUAAUUCCGUGCCAGCAGCCGCGGUAAUACGGAAGGUCCGGGCGUUAUCCGGAUUUAUUGGGUUUAAAGGGAGCGUAGGCCGGAGAUUAAGCGUGUUGUGAAAUGUAGACGCUCAACGUCUGCACUGCAGCGCGAACUGGUUUCCUUGAGUACGCACAAAGUGGGCGGAAUUCGUGGUGUAGCGGUGAAAUGCUUAGAUAUCACGAAGAACUCCGAUUGCGAAGGCAGCUCACUGGAGCGCAACUGACGCUGAAGCUCGAAAGUGCGGGUAUCGAACAGGAUUAGAUACCCUGGUAGUCCGCACGGUAAACGAUGGAUGCCCGCUGUUGGUCUGAAUAGGUCAGCGGCCAAGCGAAAGCAUUAAGCAUCCCACCUGGGGAGUACGCCGGCAACGGUGCAACUCAAAGGAAUUGACGAA
rnacentral:rRNA from 1 species